rnacentral:rRNA from 1 species
GUGAGUGAUGAAGGUUUUCCGGAUCGUAAAACUCUGUUGUUAGGGAAGAACAAGUGCAUAGUAACUGAUGGCACCUUGACGGUACCUAACCAGAAAGCCACGGCUAACUACGUGCCAGCAGCCGCGGUAAUACGUAGGUGGCAAGCGUUGUCCGGAAUUAUUGGGCGUAAAGCGCUCGCAGGCGGUUCUUUAAGUCUGAUGUGAAAUCUUACGGCUCAACCGUAAACGUGCAUUGGAAACUGGGGAACUUGAGUGCAGAAGAGGAGAGUGGAAUUCCACGUGUAGCGGUGAAAUGCGUAGAGAUGUGGAGGAACACCAGUGGCGAAGGCGACUCUCUGGUCUGUAACUGACGCUGAGGAGCGAAAGCGUGGGGAGCGAACAGGAUUAGAUACCCUGGUAGUCCACGCCGUAAACGAUGAGUGCUAGGUGUAAGGGGGUUUCCGACCCUUAGUGCUGAAGUUAACGCAUUAAGCACUCCGCCUGGG